rnacentral:rRNA from 1 species
UACGUAUGGUGCAAGCGUUAUCCGGAUUUACUGGGUGUAAAGGGAGCACAGGCGGCGCGUUAAGCCUGGUGUGAAAGCCCGCGGCCCAACCGCGGGACUGCAUUGGGAACUGGCGCGCUGGAGUGCCGGAGGGGUAGGCGGAAUUCCUAGUGUAGCGGUGAAAUGCGUAGAUAUUAGGAGGAACACCAGUGGCGAAGGCGGCCUACUGGACGGUGACUGACGCUGAGGCUCGAAAGCGUGGGGAGCAAACAGG